GGCUUCUCGAAUUGCAGUUCUCUCCUCCUGCUGGGUGUCAUCGGUGUCGGUUUGCAUCAGCUGAGAUUGUGAUGGACUGCUGUCUGACGGUUGCUGAGAAGCCGUUGCCGCUCACAAUCAUUCAUAGCUACACCAUUCAGGAAGGUGGAAAAGGAUGUGAAAUCAGCGCUACUGCUUUCAUUACAAAGGUUGGAAGGAUACUGUGCGUCUCCCACCCCCGUGAUAAAGCGUGGGUGAGAAGUCACAUUAACUAUCUGGAUAAGAAAAGACCUCACUAAAAUCAGGAAUAAAGAGGAGAGGGCUCUGGGAAAAGAUGGCUGAAGAACAAGGGGGUCUGACUCUGAACUGAGAGCUACAGACGUCAGAAUCCCUUCCAUUCCUGUUCAGAGUCUCAGAUGGUCACGCUGCGCUGU